UCCAAGUGGUGCCAUGAGUUUUCCCUUAUC
rnacentral:piRNA from 1 species